CAGAACGAACGCUGGCGGCAUGCCUAACACAUGCAAGUCGAACGAGACCUUCGGGUCUAGUGGCGCACGGGUGCGUAACACGUGGGAAUUUGCCUCGGGGUAUGGAAUAACUCAGGGAAACUUGAGCUAAUACCAUAUAAUGUCUUCGGACCAAAGAUUUAUCGCCCUGAGAUAAGCCCGCGUAGGAUUAGCUAGUUGGUGGGGUAAAGGCUCACCAAGGCGACGAUCCUUAGCUGGUCUGAGAGGAUGAUCAGCCACACUGGGACUGAGACACGGCCCAGACUCCUACGGGAGGCAGCAGUGGGGGAAUAUUGGACAAUGGGCGAAAGCCUGAUCCAGCAAUGCCGCGUGAGUGAUGAAGGCCUUCGGGUUGUAAAGCUCUUUUACUCGGGACGAUAAUGACGGUACCGAGAGAAUAAGCCCCGGCUAACUCCGUG
rnacentral:rRNA from 1 species